rnacentral:lncRNA from 1 species
AUGACCCAGCCAGGGCCUUAUAUAGGCCUGUCUGUUAUGACAUCACAAAGGCUUUUCAUGAGCUCAGAGCAAAGCAGGGCCAAUCAUGGCUGGGGAUCUUUCACAGAGGUUUUCUCUCUUUUGGUCCCCAAAACAUCUUUCUCUUUUAAAAAGUUAUGGAUCAACACACCACCUAUAUCUACUGCACACGUCCCUCCCUUUCACAGUGCAUUAACUUCAGAUGUGUGCUCUGCCUCUUUCUGUCUUCCCACCAAAUCAAAAACAACUCAUAGCCAGCUACAGAAGACAGAAUGGAUUAUGUUGGAAGAGCAUCAAGGAGUCCAUCAUCAAGAUUUUAGGAAUCAGUAAAUAUUUACUCAGAAAUAUCUUCUUCAGUGGACCAUCAUUUUGCUUUAAAUAUCACCAGCAGAAAUUCAUUCUUUGAGCUAAGUUACUAUUUCUAGAAAAACAAAUACAAAGAUAUGUCCAGAAAGAGCUGCUUAUUCGUUUUUGGCUUGUUUUGUUUUUUGAGAUGGAGUCUCACUCUGUUGUCCAGGCUGGGGUGCAGUGGCACGAUCUUGGCGCACUGCAACCUCUGCCUCCCAAAUUCAAGCAAUUUUCCUGCCCCAGCCUCCCAAGUAGGUGGGACUACCGGUGCACAACA